AGUGAACGCUGGCGGUAGGCCUAACACAUGCAAGUCGAACGGCAGCACAGUAAGAGCUUGCUCUUACGGGUGGCGAGUGGCGGACGGGUGAGGAAUACAUCGCAAUCUACUUUUUCGUGGGGGAUAACGUAGGGAAACUUACGCUAAUACCGCAUACGACCUACGGGUGAAAGCAGGGGAUCUUCGGACCUUGCGCGAUUGAAUGAGCCGAUGUCGGAUUAGCUAGUUGGCGGGGUAAAGGCCCACCAAGGCGACGAUCCGUAGCUGGUCUGAGAGGAUGAUCAGCCACACUGGAACUGAGACACGGUCCAGACUCCUACGGGAGGCAGCAGUGGGGAAUAUUGGAUAAUGGGCGCAAGCCUGAUCCAGCCAUACCGCGUGGGUGAAGAAGGCCUUCGGGUUGUAAAGCCCUUUUGUUGGGAAAGAAAAGCAGCAGGUUAAUACCCCGCUGUUCUGACGGUACCCAAAGAAUAAGCACCGGCUAACUUCGUG
rnacentral:rRNA from 1 species